AGCAGCCGCGGUAAUUCCAGCUCCAAUAGCGUAUAUUAAAGUUGUUGCAGUUAAAAAGCUCGUAGUUGAAUUUCGGGAUUCAUCCGUUGGUCGGGCUUCACGGUCCGUACUGGUGUGAUGGGUUCCUACCUCCUGAAUAACCGGCAUGCCAUUAAUUUGGUGCGCCGGGGAGGCAGAACUAUUACCUUGAAAAAAUUAGAGUGCUUAAAGCGGGCAAGUGCCUGAAUAGGUUAGCAUGGAAUAAUAAAAUAGGACGGCAUGGUUCUAUUUUGUUGGUUUCUAGGAUCACCGUAAUGAUUAAUAGGGAUAGUUGGGGGCAUUAGUAUUCAAUUGUCAGAGGUGAAAUUCUUGGAUUUAUUGAAGACUAACUUCUGCGAAAGCAUUUGCCAAGGAUGUUUUCAUUAAUCAAGAACGAAAGUUAGGGGAUCGAAGACGAUCAGAUACCGUCGU
rnacentral:rRNA from 1 species